rnacentral:rRNA from 1 species
GACGAACGCUGGCGGCGUGCUUAACACAUGCAAGUUGAACGAGAAUUUUUCGAGUGAUUUCUUCGGAAUGAUCAUGAAAACGGAAAGUAGCGAGCGGGUGAGUAACACGUGAGAAACCUGCCUUUCACAAAGGGAUAGCCUCGGGAAACCGGGAUUAAUACCUUAUGAAACCACACACUCGCAUGAGGGAUUGGUUAAAGAUUUAUCGGUGUUAGAUGGUCUCGCGUCUGAUUAGCUAGUUGGUGGGAUAAAAGCCUACCAAGGCAACGAUCAGUAGCCGGAUUGAGAGGUUGAACGGCCACACUGGAACUGAGACACGGUCCAGACUCCUACGGGAGGCAGCAGUGGGGAAUUUUGCACAAUGGAGGAAACUCUGAUGCAGCGACGCCGCGUGAGUGAUGAAGGUCUUCGGAUUGUAAAACUCUGUCCUUAGUGAAGAUAAUGACAGUAACUAAGAAGCAAGCCCUGGCUAAAUACGUG